rnacentral:lncRNA from 1 species
UGUACCAGAGGCCAUUCAUGAAGGGGAAGCUUUAUCUUCACUUCACUGUGGAAUUUCCAGAUUUUCUAAAUCCAGAACAGGUUAAGGCUUUGGAGGCCGUUCUGCCACCAAAGCAGCCUUCACAGUUAACAGACAUGGAGCUGGACGAGUGUGAGGAGACCACACUUCAUGAUGUCAACAUGGAGGAUGAGACUAGGAGGAGGCAGCAACAAGCUGCUCAGGAGGCAUAUGAGGAGGAUGAUGAUAUGCCUGGUGGUGCACAGAGGGUACAGUGCGCCCAGCAGUGAUGACUUGUGUGGAAGGAAUGUAGAAUCAGAAUUAUAUAAAAUGAAUGAUGAUGAUGAUACUGUUGAUGAUCCGUAACUGUAGCGUGGACUAUGGACUAAAGACGAGUAGCGUUGUAGUAGUGUUUGAUUGUGAGAAAGUGAAGAACAUUAAUACUGUGGAAAGGAUAAUUUCUGUUCUGGCAUCCUAAAUACUUCUGUUUAUUGGUUUAUUUUAAGCAUAUUUGUUUCGGUUAUUUAAUUUUAUUACCAUCUCAUGUUUGCGUGUGGUUGCUAAUGAAUUACCGUUUCAUGGUUAGGCAAAGACCUUUUUUUAUAAGGCUAAGAAGCAAUAGGCGCGUGUUAAUGACUAUGAAGAGUUUUUCUUUCUUUUUCGAGUGGUUGAAGAUUACAGUUUAUUUUUGUAGUUAUAGAAUUGUAUAUUUCUUAAUUUUAUAAUAUAAAGUUGAUUGAGCAAUUUUAGAGGUUGAAGCAUGUGAGCAGUUGUACCGUAUGUUUUCUCCAGGAAGAUCAUUGUUUGCAGGGUCAUUCUUAAUGAGAAGGGAGGAAGGUGUGCGGUUAGAUGUUCUGAAAAAUAACUAAUUUAAGAAGAAAUGGAGGACUGCAAGGUGUGGAGAUCUCGUAGCUAUCUUGUUGAAAUUUUAUUUUUUUUCCAUCUAAAAAUAUCUUAAUUUGAGUUAUCUCGCUAAUUAGAAGUGAAUAACUCAUUUUACUACAUAACUCCUAACUAAUCGAUUAACAUUCUCUACUCACAAAAAAGAUUAACAUACCCUAAUCGAUUAUAUUGUGCUUGAUUUCAAGUUUUCUUUAUAUCUUCACUCUUUUUUUAAGUGUGGAUUCACAACAAUUUAAUUGUAUUUUUUAUAUUAAUAUUAAUAAAAUAAAAUAAAUCGAACCAACCGAGUCAAAUGUUUUUGAGUUGAAUAAAUAAUUUAAUAAAUAUUUAUUGAAGGAAAAAAAUAAUUUUUAGGUGAACUUUUUUAGGUAAAAUUAAGCUGAAAUGUUGCAGAUAAAUUUUAUAUUACGUUAAGAAAUUUAAAUAAACGCUUAUUUUUUGUUGGUACAAAGAAAGUUAGUAAAUAAUUAAGAUUUAGCCUCUCAGCUAUGAAUCUAGUAAACUAAAUGAAUGGGACCCAAGUCCUAAAACUAAAAUCGCCAUGCACUGCACGUGCUGCUUCACUUUUCUUUAUUUUAAUUUAUAACUGUUACGAUUCAAUAAUUAUCACAAAAUGUUAUAAAAAGUUUUUUUUUUAAAUAUGAAGAAGAUGGUAUAAAAUUAAAUAAUAUUUUCAUACAAUUUAAUGGAAGAUGCCAACUGUAAAUAGAACAGUAUCCUUAUUUUUAAAUUUAUAUCUUAAUAUCGUUAAUGUUUUUACUAUUUACACCAGAUCUUAACGGGAUUUUACCUUUAGCAACUUUUAAGUGUAUGUUUAACAAAAUUAAUGUUUUGAAAAAUACUAUUGUAAUUUAAAAAAUAUAUAUGUUAAAGAGGAAUGGAUUUUUUAAGUAAGAAGUUAAUUUAAGCUACUGUAAAAAUACUUUAUUAUAAGUUUAUAAUUAACUUUUAGCUCAUGAAAUAUAGUUAUAUAAUUAGAUAUAUAAAUAAGUGUUCUUUUCUAAUUCUCACUUGAAAUCUCGUCAAUUUAUCUCAUUAUAUUGUUAAUUAAAGAAUACCAACUCUUUGACUUAGUAUAUGAAUCAAGAUUUAUAAUACAAAUAAAAAUACACCACUUUAAAAUCUAUAUCUAAAAAAUCUUGUAUUAGUUGAUAAUAUAAAAAAUAUAUAAUCGUAUAAAGAAAUUAAAUAUUAAAAAAUAAAUUUAUAGAUAUUAAGUGAAGUUUGUAUAAUAAAUCUAAUAAAGUAUUAUUUACAUUUUUAUUUUUCUAUCUAGCAUUUUUUCAUCGUCUUAACACCUUUUUCUUAUUUAUCUAGCACAAUUUUAAAAUUAAAAAUUAAAAAUUAAAAAUAAAUUAAUAAAUUAAAAAAAAUGAUAAUUUUAAUUUUAAUGUAUUAAAAAAAUAAAUAUUUUUUUAUGUUUAAAAUAGUUAAAAAUAUAAUUAAUAAAUAAAAGAAAUAAGUUUUUACAAAAUAAUAAAAAAAAUAAUAUAUUAAAAAAAUAGUUUAUUUUUUUUAAAUUAAGAAAAUUAAAAAUUAAAAAAAUUAAACUCUACAACAACAUAAAAAUUGAAUUUAUAAACAAAAAUUAAUAUUUACUUUUAUUAUUAUUUAUGAUAUAAUUAUGUUAAUUUCAAGUAAAAAAUACAGGACAUAAUUAUAAAUAAAAUAAAAUAAUUAUAAAAAAAUUAAAGUCAAUUAGUAUUAAUUAGUAGUAGACACAAAUAAUAUUGAAGAAUAAUAUUGAAGUGUCUACUCUAAAUGCAAAAUCCUAAAAAAAAAACUAAUGCAAAUACUGCACUUAAUACUUAAAAAUAAGAAGAAUAAAAUGCAAAAAUAAAUAAAUGUGACGUACAUUUCGAGUAUGGUUUGUAGUUGAAUAGAGUCGUAGAUGCCAAAGAACGUCUCAACAUUAUCAUCCUCGAUCAUCUCAAUGGCGGUGUAAUGACUUAUCCCUCCACCAAGUCUAGUCGGGUAGCGAAAGUGAAUUGUUGCGACCCUUUGUUUUGCUUUCCUAUGCAGUUUUCCGAGGAUAACUCAUUCUUUGUAGGGUCAUUCUCCUUUUGAUAAGGACAAUUUUUGGUGUUAUAGAAGUGAAUGCACAUCCUUCAAUGAGACAUUCUUUCAUUGAUCCAUCAUAGUGAAUAAUGACAUAUAAUGAAGUCAUUUGUUGACAACAAACAAAAUGUUGGAUGUGUAAUACAAAAGGAAAGAUAGAGAAAUUAAAAUGUUGGGUGUGACAUACUUAUUUAGUAUCGUCUUAUAUAUCUUAUUUUUAUAUUGGUUAGAUUUGUUUUUAUUUUUUAUAUCUUUUAUCAUUAUUAUUUUGUUUUACCUUUAUUUUAUAUAUUUUUUGUUUUUAGUUAUUAUUAUUUUUUUCUGUUAUUCUUUAUUUUUUUCUGUUUUUUUUAUUGUUUCUGUUUUUAUUUUUUAUAUUUAUUUUUUUUAACAUUUUUUUCUUCUCAUUUUUAAGCAUUAAAGGUAGUAUUUGCAUUUUUUUUAGAAUUCUGCAUUUAGGAUAGACACUUCAAUAUUACCUGUGUCCACUACUAAUUAAUACUAAUCGACUUUGGUUUUUUUAUAAAUAUGUCCUAUAUUUUUUACUUAAAAUUAACAUAAUUACAUCAUCAAUAAUAAUAAAAAUAAAUAUUAAUUUAUGUUUAUAAAUUCAACUUUUAUGUUGUUGUAGGAUUUUAUUUUUUAUUUUCUUCAUUAAAAAAAAUUAAACUAAACAUUUUUAAUUUAUUACCUUUUUAUUUUUAUUUUGUAAAAACUCAUUUCUUUAUUCAUUAAUAACUAUUUUAAACAUUAAAAUUAUUUUUUUUAAUGCAUUCAAUUUUUUUAAUUUAUAUAUAUUUUUUACUUUUGAAAUGGUGUUAUAUAGGGAAAUAAAAACAAAAGAGUGCUAGAUAUGGAAAUAAAAACAAGAGAGUGUUAGAUGGAGAAAUAAAAAUGUAAAUAGUGCUAUAUAAGGAAUUGAGUAUACUUCCUACGCAGGUGAAUUAGAUCAAGUAGAAUUGUUAUAACAUAGACUCACCUAUUUCUUUUAUAAUUUUAUCUUUACUUUUAAACUAUUUUUAAAUAAAAACAAUUAUGCUAAAUGUUAUUUUUAUUUUGGUAAUUGGAAAAAAAAUAGUCACACGCGUUCAUGUGCUUUCGCAGUUAUAUAUACUAGCGGAAACACAGGUGCAAUCGCGCGCUUGUGUAUUCAUAUUUUUCUCUUUUACUCAACUUUCACGAUGAUAAAAAUUUAACAUACAUACAAAAAUAAUUUUGGAUGAAUCGAAAAUGAAAAACAAAAAAUAACAUGUAAAAAAAUAUGAAUUGAUUAAACAACCUCUUUUUUCUUCUUCUCCGGUUUGAGUCUCUCUUUUUCUUCAAGUUUUUUUCUUCUUCCAUUGGUAGUUUUGGGAUCAAAGAGUGUUAUAAUGUUCACGUUAAAGUUAUGACUGACUUGAUG